rnacentral:RNase_P_RNA from 1 species
AUGGUGGGCAGGAUGGUCGCUGGUUCAUUAGCUUGAACGAGAGGAAAGUCCGGGCUUCAUAGAGUGCAAUGGUCGGUAACACCGACCGGUCGUAAGAUCAGGGAUAGUGCAACAGAAAGUAAACCGCCCGCUUGCGGGUCAGGGUGAAACGGUGAGGUAAGAGCUCACC